AUCGUUUGCAUAUAUUUAUCUAUUCGCAUUUUCUUCCUGAUUUUUUUUUGUAUAUUUUGUUUAUUUUACUUUAUUUAUUUAUUUAUUUUUUUUUGUUUAUAUUCUCUUCUAUCGUUCUAGUGUUUUUUUCUACUUUUUUUUGUCUUUGUUUCUUCUUCUUUUUCUAUUCUACUCGUGUGUUUCGUUUGCUGUCGAACGGACACCGAUCUUCUACACGGGUGUAAUUGUUUUUAUUUAUUAAUUUUUUUAUCUGUUUAUUUCCUUGUCAAUUUUCUUCACUCCGCGAACGAAUCGAUCCUGUCAGCCGUGACUCGGAGUUUUCUUUUUAUUUAUUUUUCUCUUUGUUUGCUCUUUGCUGAGGUUUGUCACUAACCAGCCGCCUCUGGUCCAAACAAUGCGAUUCUAGUUUGUCUUCUCUCCUUGAUCAAUAUUAACGCUUCGUAUGUCUUGUUUUUAUCGUUUUUCUGUUAUCCUUUUGCAAGUGAAUUGGCAGCACCUUUCCACUGCUACGUCUUCUUCGUUCUUCUUUACCAUCGGUGGGUAUCAAUGAUCUAUAAAGAACGAGACCAAUGAUAAAUCAUUAUCUACAAAGAUGUUCUCGCGGAACUUUUCCAUAGAGAAAACGUUAAGAUAAGCAGACAAAAUUCAUUGUCAGUGUUUCAUUUCAGAGUGCAAAAGAACGAUUGCCGAAAGGAAGACGAUGUGAUUUACGUUCGUAAUCUUUGCAGAGUGUGAUUUCACGCAGGCUUGCCUCAUGAUUCGACCCACAACUGCAUUAUGUUGCGAAUAAAAAUAUUCCAUGCAUGCUUGAUUGCGUGAUCGACUGUAUCCUGUGAAUAACGCAAAUCGUUUCCUGUUUUAAUAAUCCUGAAGAGGGUGUUCUGAGUUACAAUGUUCUAAAACAGCGUUCUUGUGAUUUUUUUUAGAAGAGAAAGGAAGAAAUGAAGUUACUGGAUUUUGAGAUUUCUAACCCUAUUUAUACACGGAUGUCUUGUCGCUGCAAUCUUCAAUCGACGAGAAAGAUGCAGCUCGUAAUUGUUGAGUGAAACGAAAAACCAAAAAAGGAUCAAAUUAUUAUAUAUUUCUCUCCUGGGUGAACCAAAGGAAGGCAGAAAAAAGUUUAUUUAAAUAAUCGUUAUAAUAAUAAUUGUAAAAUUUAUAUCUUUUUUAAAAAACACAUCUUUUUUUAAACUCGCCAAAAGUUUUAAUUUCACAUUUUUCUCUGCCUUUGUUUAAUUCAUUCAGAAGAAAAAUAUAUAAUAAUUUGAUCCUUUUUUAGUUUUGUGUUUCAGUCAAGAAUUACAAGCUGGAUCUUUCCUACCGACUGAAAACAGCAGCCCAUGAAACAGGCAUAGAAAUCUGUUACAAUUUAUUUUUUCACCUAAAAAAAAAUUUCUUUGUAUUCGUUAAAUAUAUAUAAAACCGCAGCUCAAAAUUCAAUAAGUUCGUUUCUUUCAUUCCUUUCCAAAAAAAAAAUCACAAGGAAUGCCGUUGUAGAACGUUCUAAUUCAGGACAGCCCCUGAAUACGCACGCCAUGCAUGCACGAUGCAUUUGUCUGUUGUAUAUUGUGCCAUCAGUUGGAAGCGCGACGAUUAUUUCGCGAUUUAUCGGAUCGAUACGAUUGUUUGGAUUUAUGAAAUCCAGAGGCAGAACGAGUCGUAAGUAAAUUAACGCCUCGAUGAUCGAUAGUUAAUAGAGCUACUUACUGAAAUAAUCCAUGCUCUGAACGAAUAAUAAUCAGCGUCAUUCGUUGCUUUUAAUUAGCAUUUUACUGUAAUCACGACUAUCGCUAUUGUCAUUUUACUAUAUUGCUGAAAUUGUAACUAUUACAGUCUGUUAAAUCUUAACUGGUUACUCAACAUUUUCCCAAUUUUCCCCACUCUAUGGUUAACAGUUUCUAGUAAAACAAAAGUAGAUGACUAUCUUUCAAUUGUAUGCUGAGUAGCCAGCAAAUUUUGAACGAAUUAUAAACUGUAAUAAGAAUCAAUUAUUUCAUGGAAUUCAACGACGCUGAGUCCUUUCUACAUAGAAAAUAAUUACCAGAAAAAGAUAAU